CUUGUGUGAGUGGUUCCAGUUGCUGACUCUGCCCGACUUCCAAAUUUGAACUCGAGUAUUACCAUGUCAAGCUCUCAGUGCUUUGAGAACCCACCAAACCUGAGGCCCUCUUGUGGCUCAGGCACAGUUCAAGAGUUUGGUGGCCUCAAAACCUAUGUCACUGGCCCUCCAGAUUCCACGCAUUCGAUCCUUCUCAUUUCUGAUGUUUUUGGGUAUGAAGCUCCAAAUUUGAGAAAGCUUGCAGACAAAGUUGCAGCUGCUGGAUUCUUUGUAUUGGUUCCUGAUUUUUUCUAUGGUGAUCCUGCUGACUCAAACAAUCCUCAAUUUGAUCGUGAGGCAUGGAGAAAAGUUCACAACACAGACAAAGGAUAUGAAGAUGCUAAACCAGUAAUUGUUGCUUUAAAAAGUAAAGGGGUUUCUUCCAUUGGUGCCGCAGGUUUUUGCUGGGGAGGGAAGGUAGUAGUGAAACUAGCAAGCUCUGAUGACAUUAAGGCUGCUGUUGUGCUGCAUCCUGGUCGGCUCACCAUUGAUGAAAUUAAUGAGGUGAAGGUUCCAAUUGCAUUUUUGGGAGCUGAGUUUGACCAUGCUUCUCCACCAGAGCAACUGAAGGAUUUUGGAGAAAUUUUAUCCGCAAAAUCUAAGCAAUUCGAAAGCACUGUGAAAAUAUUCCCUGGUGUGAGUCAUGGAUGGACAGUGCGGUACAAUGUUGAUGAUGAAUCAGCUGUGAAGAGUGCUGAAGAGGCUCACGGUGACAUGUUAAAUUGGUUCACUAAACAUGUCAAGUGAGAAGUGCAUUAAGCAAAGAGUGUUAAAAGAGAGUAGGCUUAUGACCUAAAACUACUUAUCCAUCAUCUAUUCUAGCUGCACUUUGUAAUAGCAUAGCAA
rnacentral:misc_RNA from 1 species